GUGGGGAAUAUUGCACAAUGGGCGCAAGCCUGAUGCAGCAACGCCGCGUGAGGGACGACGGCCUUCGGGUUGUAAACCUCUUUUAGCAGGGAAGAAGCGAAAGUGACGGUACCUGCAGAAAAAGCACCGGCUAACUACGUGCCAGCAGCCGCGGUAAUACGUAGGGUGCAAGCGUUGUCCGGUAUUAUUGGGCGUAAAGAGCUCGUAGGCGGUUUGUCGCGUCUGCUGUGAAAACCCGAGGCUCAACCUCGGGCCUGCAGUGGGUACGGACAGACUAGAGUGCGGUAGGAGAGAUUGGAAUUCCUGGUGUAGCGGUGGAAUGCGCAGAUAUCAGGAGGAACACCGAUGGCGAAGGCAGAUCUCUGGGCCGUAACUGACGCUGAGGAGCGAAAGCGUGGGGAGCGAACAGGAUUAGAUACCCUUGUAGUCC
rnacentral:rRNA from 1 species